GACGAACGCUGGCGGCGCGCUUAACACAUGCAAGUCGAGCGAGAACCAGGGCUUCGGCUCUGGGGACAGCGGCGAACGGGUGAGUAACACGUGAGUAAUCUGCCCUCGACACUGGGAUAGCCCGGGGAAACCCGGAUUAAUACCGGAUAGCCUUUCGAGCUCUCGGGCUCGUCAGAAAAGGAUGGCUUCGGCUUUCGGUUGAGGAUGAGCUUGCGGCGGAUUAGCUUGUUGGUGAGGUAACGGCUCACCAAGGCGACAAUCCGUAGCUGGUCUGAGAGGACGAUCAGCCACACUGGGACUGAGACACGGCCCAGACUCCUACGGGAGGCAGCAGUGGGGAAUCUUGCGCAAUGAGCGAAAGCUUGACGCAGCGACGCCGCGUGAGGGAAGAAGGCCUCGG
rnacentral:rRNA from 1 species